GCCGAUCGUCGAUUUGGAAGCCGCAUCAUCAAAAACAACUUGGUAGCACGAAGCCCUCCGUGCUUGUAAGGUAACGAAUCCUCGUAUUAAUAGUCCACUUUUGGCCAAAGUGACCAAAGUGUGGCGAGCUGAAUACUUGGACAUGUUCCAUUUGACAUUCCAAAGAUGUUGGAAGGGUCAAAGUUGAGUUCUAAAAGAGUUAACUGAAUUUUAGCAUUAUUCGGCGCAAAACAGAAGUCGAACAAGUGCUAAAACUGCAGUCUGGGCAUCUUGUACCGGUACAACAUCAGGGUGGUACCGGUACCCCGUAGCUGGACGAGAGUAGUUGCUCUCGGGUUGGCCUCUGCAUAGCUGUUGAACUGGUGACAGAUUACCCGCGUACCGGUACCAACUGCAGAAAACUGCAGGUUUGGUCUGUUGCAAUUGGGAGUUGUUUGAGGGGCUUUUAUGUAAUUGUGACAGCUUAUAAAAGGGUCCCAACUCCCUCUCAUCUGUUCUCAGCCAGAGAACACUUCCUCACCCCUUUUCUUUCUCUUUCUCUCUCUAGAAGCUCUCUAAAGGGUUGGAGCUAGAGGAGGGAUCGGUAGAGAUUGAAGCUUGAGAUUGAAUCUUUAUCUUCUUCAUCCUUUUCUUCGCUGUUGGAGCGCGUUUUUGAGGUAAGCUUCGAAGAGCUUUAAUGGUAGAUUUCUAGGGUUGGGUUUUUAUACCUUAGGAAUGAUUUUUAUUGAACCCUUAGGUGCUAAGUAGGUGGUUAUUGCUUGAAUCGCGAAGUUAUACGUCGAAUUCUUGCAAUAAUUCCGACCUAGGAUUAUAAAAUAGGUUUUGUAAAGUAGAGAUCCAAGGUUGGGAUUGAUCUCUUUUGUACCUAUUUGCUAUAUAGUUUGACGUGCUGGUGAAGGCGAUUCGGCGAUCCGUCAAGCCUACGCAAAGAUAUUGGCAAAAAGGGCGUUUCGGCUUCGUUUUCGCCUGUAUGGCCGAUGCGACGUCCUAAAAUUGCAAAAUUCGAACCCUCGCGUCUUGACAUCACCAAAAGGUGGGGGGUGUCAUCCCGAAGCAGUUGGGCUUCCUUUUAUGUCUAAGUCAUAUUGUCGAUCGUANAUGUACAUCUACGCUAUCAUAAGAUAAUAUGUCCAAUGCAUACUAAUAUGCCUUAACAUAAUAAACAAGUAAAUCUCACGAUGCAAUAUGCCAAUGCAUAAGGAGUAAGCUCUAUCAAAGCAACCCAGUAUGCUAUAAUGCAAUGAAUGAAACGGGCAAGUAUACUAUAUAUCCCAAUGCUAUGUCAUGAGCAUGUCAAGUAAUCCAACUACUAAGCCUAUCUAGUAGUGAUUAUUCAUUCUCAACACCGUGUCGAUUUCCAUUUCCAAUUAAGGACCUACCAAAGGUAGUCCAGCUUGUGCCGCCAAAGUGCCUGUGGUAGCCCAACAUUCCUACUCUUGGAAUGUGUCUGUCCCACUCGACCCCGUAGGCUUCUCAAUACCGCACGAGCGAACAUAAGUCGCGUAGGCUAACUCCGGAGUGCCGGCUUGUAGGGAGCGACCCUCACAAGAAUGUGCGAAGAGCACAAAUGGCAAACAAGCAUAGUCCAAGUCUCACGUAUCCAAUCCUCAUGUCUCUAACAUGGUAUAGUCACUAGCAUUCCGAAGAUCUAGUUCUAAGUCACAAUGUGAAGUUCCGACAUUCAUUACGCCUAGUGCCCCUUGAUGACACUUAGACAAUUUAAUGUUCAACAUGUUUCCAAUCCCUCAAUGGCCCUAUUCACUAGGUUCAACCAUGUCCCGAGCUCAAUGCCGC
rnacentral:lncRNA from 1 species